ACUGAUCAGAUACUGAAAUCUGACCUGGCAAGAUGUGGAAACUAGUUCAACACCGGGAGAGAAGGAAAUGGGAAGUCCCAGAUACGCCUCCAGUUUGUACCAGCCAAAGUCAGGUGGGAAAGGAUGUGUGGGAAAUAAGCAAUAGAAAAGAAACCAAGACACAGCUAAAGAAAAUCAAUGAGAUCUCAUCGGAAAAGUAACUACAAGACAGCAGAACUUUUCAGACUUCGUCUUUGCACAUGCCCAUGUGGGAUACAAUUCCACUUACAAGGGGAACUACCUAUGUGAGCUGCCAGCUUAGAGAUGUUCUUUAUGGAUGGUAAGCUGAGUGGAGUAUAAAAGUUCAGGAUAUUCUGAAACAUGUCUACCACCUUGGCUCCCAUCUCCUCCCCCUGUUGACAGCCUGACUCAUGGGUCCUGCAGUGAACGGGAAAAGCAGAGCGGACCGCCAGCAUCCUCUACCACAGGAACAUGCUGCCAUCUGGAGGCUUCCAGAAGAAAAUAAAAUAAAAUAGAUAAAGAGGAACCUGG